UUGCCUUUCCAAACACACAGUUAUAAUUCUAGUCUGCCUGAGGCAUCCAUCGCUCUGAAGGGAAAUCAGGGUCUGCUGCAGAAGGGAUACAAAGAAUAAGACCCAGGUGAUGUUCAGCUUUUGACAUUGAAAAUUCAGCUUUUGCCUAGCCCUGAGUCCUGAAGAGUUUCUCCUAUAUAGUUUUCUAAUAAUUUUUGUCUAAAGUUUUUGUCUAAAAAAUCAGCUGACAAUCCCUAACAAUCAGUUGUUUGCCAGGUGAUUAGCUGCCUCUCUACCUUCCUCGUGGUCCGAUAAACUGCAGGAACGUAUGGAAUCAUUCACACUUAGCUUGUGCUGGGCCAGGCCGCGCAUGUCACCUUGAGUUUCGCUGGCCGCUGACAAGACCUCAAGCUGCCAAGAGCUGCCGCACUAUCCUUCCCCGGCUCCCAUUUUAAUGGAAGGGGUCGCUGGCAGGGCCAGGAGAUUAAGAGCAUGCCCCUUAUUCAGCUUUAUCUCAGCAAGUAUUCAUAGUUUUAGAGUUGCAAGGGACCUUCUCAAAGGGAACAGGCUAAAACCAAGGAAUGUUCAGUGAUUUUUUUCCAAUUUACAGAAUCUUCAGCUUCUGACUCCCAGGCUGAGCUCUUUUCAUUGUCCCCACAAAGCACCAGCCAGUGGACUACUGGUCACUCCUCCUGGCCUGCCGCAGCCUCUGUCCCAUAACAGGGAGCAAACAGCUGUGGCGGCUCAGAGAAUCCGCCAGGUCGUAGCAAUUUAAUCCAGUGCUCUCAUGGGGAUCUGCUGUGAGCAUCUCAUGCAGGGGCUCCGAGCUGCCAGCUUUCCCUCCGAGCUGCCUUCAGCGUCCUGUCCUCGCCCUCACAGCCUGGGAGCAUAUGUGCUGCUGAAGGGAGCACAAUCCUUAUUCUUAACAGGCAAAUUGACAUUAUAUUUGCAACUAGUGUGGACAUUGAAGACUACUGAGAAAAAUUAUCAUAACUCCAUUAUUAUGUAGAAUUGUUGGCAAUCCUCAUCAAGAUCUUCAAUCUAAAACAUUCAGAAAACAGAAUUUUGGAAACCGAAAGUUCAUUUACCUUUGGGAAAAUUCCUUAUCACAUAAUCUGAAAUAUGCGUAGAAGAUUGAGAAUGUAUGUUCUUCUUCCUAUGACAACUCAAAAGUUCUUUGUAAUGAUUGUUUCUUGGCAGUUAGUUCUGAAAAAAAAUCAGAUUUGUUCUGCAUCGUUCUGAACAUGAAAAGAUUUUUAAAGAGAUUGCAAUGGGCAAUUCUGCACUUGACGAACAUAUAAUCUUCAAAAUAUUUAUCAUUUUAUGCACACCAUAAAGAUGUAGAUAUGGAUAUGGAUGUGGAUAUGGCUAUAGCUAUGGCUGUCUAUUUUGGGAAACCAAGUUUUUACCAAUAUGUUGUCAUUUCAGCUGCCAUAACACUAAUAAACUAAUUGAAGCAUUUAAAACA
rnacentral:lncRNA from 1 species